GCCUCGACAAACUUUCGCAAUGGCUGGGCUGCGAGACGCCGCCUGAUCGCCUUGCGCCAGCGCCAGUCCGGGGUUACGUGGUGUCUGGGAGGAAGGACGUGACUGCCGAGGUGACCCUACUCAGCCGCGCACGUCCAAUGCUGCCUGCCCACAAUCGAACCCUCCAUGACCUGUUACAUUGCCGCGCCUGCUGGUCGCGGAUCUCUCACAUUGUCACGGCAGGCGGCCACAUGCGAUUUGACGCUCUUGCGGCUGCAACUGUCCAGGUGGGUCCCAGCGCAGGUGGGGUUCAGCGCACGCGGGUCAUCGAGCUUGCUGGGCACCCAGAGACAGCCGCGUGGCGCCGCCUCGUCGCCGAACCGGUUUCCUCCGGGGGCAGCGUCCUCCUGUACUGCGGGUCCAGACGGCGCUGCUGGCAACUGGCCACGACCCUCCUGGAAGAACUCGCGAUCCCAGCCACCGCGGUGCGGCCCUGGCCCGUCUCUCUACGCACUGAUGCGCACUCCAACAUGGCCUCCAGGUGCAGCCAACAAGCCA
rnacentral:lncRNA from 1 species